UGGGGAAUAUUGGACAAUGGGGGCAACCCUGAUCCAGCCAUGCCGCGUGCGUGAAGAAGGCCUUAGGGUUGUAAAGCGCUUUCACUGGUGAAGAUGAUGACGGUAGCCAGAGAAGAAGCCCCGGCUAACUCCGUGCCAGCAGCCGCGGUAAUACGGAGGGGGCAAGCGUUGUUCGGAAUUACUGGGCGUAAAGGGCGCGUAGGCGGAACGUCAAGUUAGAGGUGAAAGGCCUGGGCUCAACCUAGGAACUGCCUUUAAAACUGACGAUCUAGAGUCCGGAAGAGGAUGGCGGAAUUCCUAGUGUAGAGGUGAAAUUCGUAGAUAUUAGGAAGAACACCGGUGGCGAAGGCGGCCAUCUGGUCCGGUACUGACGCUGAGGCGCGAAAGCGUGGGGAGCAAACAGGAUUAGAUACCCCCGUAGUCC
rnacentral:rRNA from 1 species